UCGAGGUGGCCGACCAUCUAGGGAUGUCUGUGGGCUAUUGAAAAGUCUUAAACUGGAGUUGAACCAAUUAAGGUCUUAAAAAUUCAGAAAUUUGAGUUUACUAUGUUUUAAAUUUUGAAGUCGAACAUAUUUUAGUCCGAUGAAAAAUGUAUUUUUAAGUUGAAAUGUGACUGACUCUUAAGCAGUAUACUACGAAUUAACUCGAUGUAGCGGAUUACUUGGGAGUUCAUUUUCAGUACAGUGAGUGUCCGGGUUAAUAACGUGCGACUGACGGACAACUCGUACUUACAAAUUGACGGACAUGGGGCCCAAUAUAUUAAGAAUUUGACUCGGAUAUAAAAGUUCAUAAUGCACACACGCACUAUUUUGUGACGCCCGUAAGAACAUUGCGCGGCCUCAGCGGUUCGUGUAAACGUUAAGUCGUGAAGGCCGCUGCCAGCAUGCAAGACGGCGAUGGAGCUAGGAUUCCACUUCAAGACGGACCUACGAACCUUCGUAACCCGGGACCUGCCUUGCACUAUAUGAAAGAGCCAGCGUGGCAUGUUGGGAACGAUGCAAAGUAGAAUCCUCUUCUGAGUAUUUUAUUGGUCGACUGGGAGAGGAAUCCAGUAGGUAUCGAUGACAACUUCCUGCCAGUUUCUUGCUGGGAUAACCAACUUCCUGUUUAAUGGUGGUCGGCAAACACAAUGGAGCAAUCGGGGUUGUUCUUCGGCUGUUCUCUCAACAAUCUUCCAAAAAUGACCAUGGCACAUGUUACACGGUCAAUGGAAAGCCGCAUAUCAUCGAAAACACUUGAACGGGGGCACAAAAAUUUUCAUGAAAAUUCUUUUCAAAGGUGACGGUCACUUUACGGAUUGAGCCUGUGCAGUUAAACAGCAUGUUAUGCUCAUGCACUGCAGGGAAAGCACUGUGCGCCGACCUGCUCGCCUUGCUUUUCCAGUGUGCACAUGGUAGUAUGAUGAAAAUGCAGACAGCCCCAUCAAGAGUGCCUGUACUAACUCUCUGCAGACCUGACGUCGGCUAAGGACCUGGGCAGGUGGCAAGAAACUGCUUGUGAAUAAUCUUCUGAACCUGGACGAAGCCAGGAGUAUUGCGAUACAUCAGAACGAUGGGAAAUGGAAAAUUCGUCUUGUCGGUUAAGAAGAAUAAAUUGGCAGGAAGCGUAACCAAGGGAACACAGCAGACUGAAGCAAUGAAGAGGCCUUGAACUUGAACCAGCAGUUUUGGAGCAGAACUCUGAAUUCUGUCAUAUUCAUGUGUUGCCUUGCGGAUCUGUUAUUCAUCUAGAUGCUCUUCAUCUUGGUGGAUGCCCCGACGCAAAAGCGUUUGAUCCAUCUGAAAAUACAUGCUCAACAACGGUCAAUAUGCAUGCCAAAAUACUCAGAAGACCGUCUCAGAAGGAAAACUGAAAGUCCACAUCAGAUGCAUAAAAUCAGUUGAUCUGCAAUGGUGACACUGAGUUUCGCCAGUUCUGUUUACAGCUUGUUGAUAGUUUCCUCUAGCACUUGUGCUUUAAGGGAAACAGAAUCUGUGCACCUGUUGAAUGCAAAAAUUCUACAUGAUGAAAAUGAACCCACACGUACUAAUCAAAAACCAAAGACAAUUUCAUUACAAAGUCAGAGUCAAUAUAUUCAUUACAGACGCUUCUCUACUUAUGAAUGAGAUACGGCUGUUCAUAACUUGAAAUGUUCAUAAGUCGUCAUUCAACAUCAUUUUAAGGGUAUACAGAAGUACAUAGAACUAGGAUGUUGGGAGUAGGCACGCUACGCUGCUGCACGCGGGAGUAGCGGCCAGAAGUCAUUCUACCUGGAAUUGGCUCGCAAAAAAAAAAUGGAUGUUGCGGACAGGAAAAGGGAGCCGAAUGAACACAAUUUGGACUUGCAGUGCUCUUCGUUCGUAUAUCUGAAAGUUCGUAAGUUGAAACUUCGUAAGUAGAGAACUUCUUAAUAUUGUAAAUUGUCUGUAUGAAUUUGGGAUGAAACUUGCCAAGUUGUUCGAAUAUUAAGCAGUGUAGUUGCACACAGUUAAUGGAUAAAACAAUAAAAAUUCUGUGACUGAGUACAAGUAUUAAA